ACGUCACCUCGACCAUCUCCCGUCGCGGGCUGGCUGCUCGAUCGGUUAUGGCCUCGAUGCCUCGAUCGCAGGAGGCAGGGAUCGAUCGCAUCAAGAGGAAACCCAACAGCGCGGGAUCUUGGUUCGCAUCUAGAUCCGGUGAUGCCGUGACGGGCGACACGGGAUCAUUAGACAGAUGGGUUAUUUCCUCCUCGGUUAAAUAUCACAGCAUUGCAGUUCAAUCGGACAGGAGAUGUGACUAGUUGAGUUAGAUGGUUCGUCUAAUUGUCAAAUAUUGACGCAUAAUCUCCAAUUGGUAUCUGCUGCCAUAUGAAUAGGUACAAUUAUUUAUAUAACCAAUUGUUAUGUAAGACAUUAUAUCAUAAUUGCUCGUUUGUUCAUUUUAGUGAUAUAGGGGCCCACUUUUUAGUUUUGCACAGGGCCCCCAAUUUUGCCGGCCCGGCCCUGACCCACAGGGUUUAAGUUUUAGAGUUGGCACAUGAGUUCACUAUAUCUUUGGAUUGAAAUAGUUUUUUGUGAUAUUGUAUGACUCGUCCAU